rnacentral:rRNA from 1 species
AUUGAACGCUGGCGGCAGGCCUAACACAUGCAAGUCGAGCGGAUGAAGGGAGCUUGCUCCUGGAUUCAGCGGCGGACGGGUGAGUAAUGCCUAGGAAUCUGCCUGGUAGUGGGGGAUAACGUCCGGAAACGGGCGCUAAUACCGCAUACGUCCUGAGGGAGAAAGUGGGGGAUCUUCGGACCUCACGCUAUCAGAUGAGCCUAGGUCGGAUUAGCUAGUUGGUGGGGUAAAGGCCUACCAAGGCGACGAUCCGUAACUGGUCUGAGAGGAUGAUCAGUCACACUGGAACUGAGACACGGCCCAGACUCCUACGGGAGGCAGCAGUGGGGAAUUUUGGACAAUGGGGGAAAGCCUGAUCCAGCCAUGCCGCGUGUGUGAAGAAGGUCUUCGGAUUGUAAAGCACUUUAAGUUGGGAGGAAGGGCAGUAAGUUAAUACCUUGCUGUUUUGACGUUACCAACAGAAUAAGCACCGGCUAACUUCGUG